rnacentral:rRNA from 1 species
CGGCCACCACUCUAGUCCUUUUUUCCCCCCUUUCCCCUCCCACAAACCAACCCAUUUGCCACGCCCAGUAGAUGAGAUCGACCGUCACCGCCACGCACAAUAGAGACAGUACCGCAAGGGAACCCGCAAACACAAGCCCAACAUAGCAGAGCCCAACCCUCGUACCUUUCGCAUCAUGGUUUAGCAAGCAACCGCGCGGCAUGCCGACGCAAGCCCCAACCCCCGAAACCAAGUGAGCUACUUUUGAGCACACACCGCCCGUCUCUGUAGCAAAAGAGUGAGCAGACCCAAAAGUAGAGGUGAAAAGCCUACCGAACUUGGCGAUAGCUGGCCGCUUAAAACUGAACCUAAGUUCUAACUUAACACAACACUACAACCAGACAAUGACCGUUAAGACCCCCCCCAUUGAGGGUACAGCCUCAAUGAUCAGGUAUACAAACCCAACCUGAGGGUAACCCACCCCCCCUCCAUUAUGGUAGGCCUCGCAGCAGCCACCCCCACACAACAGCGUCACAGCGUCACCCAAUAAUAAUCCCCAUUACACCACAGAGCCCCAGUAAAAAUAAAAGCAACUCUAUAAUAAUAGAAACAACCAUGCUAAAACUACUAAUAAGAAUCCUCUCUUUCGCGCACUUAUCAAUCAACCCAAACCCCCACUGAUCCCCACCCGACCCCACAGCGCAAAAAUCAUACACAUACCCACGCCUUUUCCACCCCGUAACACCAACACCGGCGCGCACAAAAGAAAGAUGAAAAGCUAUAAAAGGAACUCGGCAAACCCAGACUCCAACUGUUUACCAAAAACAUAACCUUUAGCCACACAAGUAUUAAAGGCGUCGCCUGCCCAGUGAAUCACAACUUCAACGGCCGCGGUACCCUGACCGUGCAAAGGUAGCAUAAUCAUUUGCCUAUUAAUUGUAGGCUCGUAUGAAAGGCUGCAUGAGAGUCACACUGUCUCUUAUAGCCCAUCAAUGAAACUGAUCUUACAGUCCAAAAGCUGUAAUACAACCAUAAGACGAGAAGACCCUGUGAAACUUUAAACGAAACCCUUUAAUCGCUUAAGGGGUAGUUUCAGUUGGGGCGACUUCGGAGCAAAAUAUAGCCUCCGAACCACACCACUAAAAGAAAAGGAAAACGGCCAACAGGCCCCGUAAGACCCAGUCAAAUCUGAUUAAUGAAACAAGCUACUCCAGGGAUAACAGCGCCAUCUUCUUCGAGAGCCCAUAUCAAAAAGAAGGUUUACGACCUCGAUGUUGGAUCCGGGCACCCAAGUGGCGCAGCCACUACUAAAGGUUCGUUUGUUCAACGAUUAAUAGC